UUGUCCUCAGAGCCCCAAACUGACUUAGUCAUCAAUAUGGCAGCCAUGGUCAGGGGCAACCUGACCCAGGACUAUACAAUGGUAAACUGGAUCCUAAACCAGAGGUGGGAAAAGGGCCCAAGGCAUCCCACACAGUGAGUACAAGGACAUGUGCCAAUUUCAUCUCGAGAGCAUCCUCGUCUCCUUCUUUUCCAAUGGUUGAUCUGGAAAGAGUCAACCGGAUUAACUGCUAUAAUAAAAAGCUACUUUCAGACAAGGACUAAUUGGGAAACCUGGUUUAUCACUCCUUUGUAUUCCUGCAUUUAUGGCUUUGAAACACAUAGUUUUAGCUAUAAAAAUAAGGUGCAUCAUCCCCCAAAUAUACAGUAUGCUACACAAUGCCAUAGGGCUCAUGGUAGGAGUAUUUUACAGUAUAUGCUCCAAAGAAAGACAUUGAUGUGCUCUGUGGCUUUGCUAGACUAUACUUGCAAUUGCAUCAGUGCUCUGGUAAAUAUAAUAUAUAACAUAGUCUUGUAAAUGUAAAAAAGAAGAAAAGUAGUCUAUUGUAAGAAAUAGGAACUAAUAGACUUUCAACGAGAGUACUCAUGAGAUCUGAAUAUGAGGGCUGAGUGACAAAUACAAUGUAGGCUUAAUAGAGACAUAAUUGUAUUUGCUUUUUCAGCUUAGUUCCUAUUUUAAAUAUCCAAUGACAUUUUUUACUAUAUAAAUAACAAAUAUAUCAUAGAUGUUUCUCAAUGAAUCACAUCUAAAUAUGUUUUCACUCCUGUGUUUUAAAAAGUUACAUCCUUUAGAGCCUCAGAAAACAUGACUAACAUUAAUAAGUUAAAGAUUAGUCACCAUAUUAAUAGACCUGUAAUUUAAAUUGGUAGUGAGGUUCCAAUACUGUGUUUAGAAUCUUUGUGUUGGGGCUACCGUUUCUACAUUUGAUUAUAUAUUUGUCUUCGUUGUUACAUUUCAGCAAACAGCUAUUGAGGAAGAUCACACUGAAACGUUUAACAUCAUGAAUGAAAACCAUCUCACAGUGAUGUAUUAUAUUGUACUUUUGCGCGCUUAUUCAUUUUUUGUUAUUACUAUUGCUUUCAUUCUUAUAAUAUAAUAGAAACAGUUUAUUUAUAUAUAUGAUAAUUUGGUGUGUACUGACAAACUGUAUCUCCAUAGCUGACUGAACACAGGUAAACCAUCAGUUCUGAACCAUACAUACAGUAAAAGGCUUUGCUUGUCAGAGUAAACACAGACUUGUUAAUUCUGGUCCUGUUAUUUUGUCUUGCACAUUUUGUAAUUUUUUCAUACACCAGUGUUACAACACUAUCCACAGUGUUGCGACAAGCAAGGAACAGUGGAUUUUAGAUGUAUUUUCUUCAUCAUUGGUGACAUCUAGUGGCAAAGGUAUUUAUUACAUUCAGGUUGGCAGAGACUUGUAAAACCGGCCUGCUCUGUUUAAAAUGAAGGUUCAUUUUAUUGUCAGAGUAGGACUGAGAUGGAGUUUAGAUGGAAGUGUAUAAUGCCAGAAACAUUGACAACAGUGACAACAACAAUCCAGCCCCAGUACAUAUACAGAUAAAGGACUUGGCUAAUUCAGUUAUGACUCUGUGUGUGUGUGUGUGUGUGUGUGUGUGUGUGUGUGUGUGUGUUCCACCUGUGGGCAUGUGUGAGCUGUUUACUUGUAUGAACAGCUUUCUCAUUGUCUUCUGUUAACCCAUUCAUUGUUCUUCUCUCUACAUGUGUGUGUGUCUUUGUGUGUGUGCAUGUGUCACCCUACUCUCCCCCAAGGCAGGUGACGGGCAGGUGAAAGGACAGGCUUAUAUAGACAAAGAUGGCAUGUGUGUGUGUGUGUGUGUGUGUGUGUGUGUGUGUGUGUGUGUGUGUGUGUGUGUGUGUGUGUGUGUGUGUAUCUUUGUGGGUGGAUG